rnacentral:rRNA from 1 species
AUUGAACGCUGGCGGCAUGCUUUACACAUGCAAGUCGAACGGUAACAGGCCUUCGGGUGCUGACGAGUGGCGAACGGGUGAGUAAUGCAUCGGAACGUACCCAGAGGUGGGGGAUAACGCAGCGAAAGCUGUGCUAAUACCGCAUGUGAUCUGAGGAUGACAGCGGGGGACCGAGCAGCAAUGUUUGGCCUCGCGCCUUUGGAGCGGCCGAUGUCGGAUUAGCUAGUUGGUGGGGUAAAGGCCUACCAAGGCGACGAUCCGUAGCUGGUCUGAGAGGACGACCAGCCACACUGGGACUGAGACACGGCCCAGACUCCUACGGGAGGCAGCAGUGGGGAAUUUUGGACAAUGGGCGCAAGCCUGAUCCAGCAAUGCCGCGUGCGGGAAGAAGGCCUUCGGGUUGUAAACCGCUUUUGGCAGGAACGAAACGGUGUCCGCUAAUACCGGGCGCUAAUGACGGUACCCGCAGAAUAAGCACCGGCUAACUACGUG